rnacentral:rRNA from 1 species
GACGAACGCUCGCGGCGUGCUUAACACAUGCAAGUCGAACGCUGAAGCUUGGUGCUUGCACUGGGUGGAUGAGUGGCGAACGGGUGAGUAAUACGUGAGUAACCUGCCCUUGACUCUGGGAUAAGCCUGGGAAACUGGGUCUAAUACUGGAUACGACAUGUCACCGCAUGGUGGUGUGUGGAAAGGGUUUUACUGGUUUUGGAUGGGCUCACGGCCUAUCAGCUUGUUGGUGGGGUAAUGGCUCACCAAGGCGACGACGGGUAGCCGGCCUGAGAGGGUGACCGGCCACACUGGGACUGAGACACGGCCCAGACUCCUACGGGAGGCAGCAGUGGGGAAUAUUGCACAAUGGGCGAAAGCCUGAUGCAGCGACGCCGCGUGAGGGAUGACGGCCUUCGGGUUGUAAACCUCUUUCAGCACGGAAGAAGCGAAAGUGACGGUACGUGCAGAAGAAGCGCCGGCUAACUACGUG